GACGAACGCUGGCGGCGUGCUUAACACAUGCAAGUCGAACGGAAAGGCCCGCUUGCGGGUACUCGAGUGGCGAACGGGUGAGUAACACGUGGGCAACCUGCCCUCAGCUCUGGGAUAACUCCGGGAAACCGGGGCUAAUACUGGAUAUCGACUUCUGCCUCGCAUGGGGUGUUGUUGAAAGUUUUUCGGCUGGGGAUGGGCCCGCGGCCUAUCAGCUUGUUGGUGGGGUGAUGGCCUACCAAGGCGACGACGGGUAGCCGGCCUGAGAGGGCGACCGGCCACACUGGGACUGAGACACGGCCCAGACUCCUACGGGAGGCAGCAGUGGGGAAUAUUGCGCAAUGGGCGGAAGCCUGACGCAGCGACGCCGCGUGAGGGAUGACGGCCUUCGGGUUGUAAACCUCUUUCAGCUCUGACGAAGCGAGAGUGACGGUAGGAGCAGAAGAAGCACCGGCCAACUACGUGCCAGCAGCCGCGGUAAUACGUAGGGUGCAAGCGUUGUCCGGAAUUAUUGGGCGUAAAGGGCUCGUAGGCGGUUUGUCGCGUCGGGAGUGAAAACCCAGGGCUCAACCCUGGGCCUGCAUUCGAUACGGGCAGACUAGAGUUCGGUAGGGGAGACUGGAAUUCCUGGUGUAGCGGUGAAAUGCGCAGAUAUCAGGAGGAACACCGGUGGCGACGCGGGUCUCUGGGCCGAAACUGACGCUGAGGAGCGAAAGCGUGGGGAGCAACAGGAUUAGAUACCCUGGUAGUCUACGCCGUAAACGUUGGGCGCUAGGUGUGGGGAACCUUCCACGUUCUCCGUGCCGCAGCUAACGCAUCAGCGCUCC
rnacentral:rRNA from 1 species